GCCAGGCGCAGUGGCAUGUGCCUGUAGUCCCAGCUACUUGGGAGGCUGGGGCUGGAGGAUUGCUUGAGCCCAAGAGUUCUGAGCUGUAGUGUGCUAUGCCGAUCGGGUGUCCACACUAAGUUUGGCAUUAAUAUGGUGACCUCCCAGGAGCAGGGGACGACCAGGUUGCCUAAGGAGGGGUCAAGUGGCCCAGGUCAGAAACAGAGGUCAAAACUCCCGUGCUGAUCAGUAGUGGGAUCGUGCCUGUGAGUAGCCACUGCACUCCAGCCUGGGCAACAUAGGGAGACCCUAUCUCU
rnacentral:SRP_RNA from 1 species